UACGUAGGGUGCAAGCGUUGUCCGGAAUUAUUGGGCGUAAAGAGCUCGUAGGCGGUCAGUCGCGUCUGCUGUGAAAACACGGGGCUUAACCCCGUGCCUGCUUCCGAUACGGGCAGACUAGAGGUAUGCAGGGGAGAACGGAAUUCCUGGUGUAGCGGUGAAAUGCGCAGAUAUCAGGAGGAACACCGGUGGCGAAGGCGGUUCUCUGGGCAUUACCUGACGCUGAGGAGCGAAAGUGUGGGGAGCGAACAGG
rnacentral:rRNA from 1 species